GCGGCAGACGGCUCAGUAACACGUGGCUAACCUACCUUCAGGACGAGUACAAACCCGGGAAACUGGGGCUAAUACUCGAUAGGUGAGGAUGUCUGGAAUGACUUCUCUCCUAAAGGGCUUGGAUACAUGCUUCCAAGUCGCCUGGGGAUGGGGCGCGCGUCCGAUCAGGUUGUUGGUGAGGUAAUGGCUCACCAAGCCUAUAACCGGUACGGGCCGUGAGAGCGGUAGCCCGGAGAUGGGUACUGAGACAAGGACCCAGGCCCUACGGGGCGCAGCAGUCGCGAAAACUCCGCAAUGCACGAAAGUGUGACGGGGCUACCCCGAGUGCCACCCGCUGAGGGUGGCUUUUCUUUGGUAUGAUUAGCCAUUGGAAUAAGGAGAGGGCAAGACUGGUGUCAGCCGCCGCGGUAAUACCAGCUCUCCGAGUGGUAGGGAUGAUUAUUGGGCUUAAAGCGUCCGUAGCCGGCUUAGCAAGUUUCCUGUUAAACUCAGCGACUCAAUCGUUGACCCGCGGGAAAUACUACUAGGCUAGGAGGCGGGAGAGGUCGACGGUACUUCUGGGGUAGGGGUGAAAUCCUAUAAUCCCGGGAGGACCACCAGUGGCGAAGGCUGUCGACUAGAACGCGCUCGACGGUGAGGGACGAAAGCUGGGGGAGCGAACCGGAUUAGAUACCCGGGUAGUCCCAGCCGUAAACGAUGCGAGCUAGGUGUUGGGAUGGCUACGUGCCAUUUCAGUGCCGCAGGAAGCCAUUAAGCUCGCCGCUGGGGAGUACGGCGCAGGCUGAAACUUAAAGGAAUUGCGGGGGAGCACCACAAGGCGUGAAGCUUGCGGUUCAAUUGGAUU
rnacentral:rRNA from 1 species